rnacentral:rRNA from 1 species
GACGUCGGGCGCGAGCGUUGUCCGGAUUUAUUGGGCGUAAAGAGCGUGUAGGCGGCCAAACAGGUCAGCUGUGAAAACUCGAGGCUCAACCUCGAGACGUCGGUUGAAACCGUUUGGCUAGAGUCCGGAAGAGGAGAGUGGAAUUCCCGGUGUAGCGGUGAAAUGCGCAGAUAUCGGGAGGAACACCGGUGGUGUAGACGGCUUUCUGGACCGUAACUGACGCUGAGACACGAAAGCGUGGGUAGCAAACAGG